AUACGGAGGGUGCAAGCGUUGUUCGGAAUCACUGGGCGUAAAGGGCGCGCAGGCGGUUUGAUAAGUCAGAUGUGAAAGCCCACGGCUCAACCGUGGAAGUGCAUUUGAAACUGUCAGACUUGAGUACUAGAGGGGAAAGUGGAAUUCCCGGUGUAGAGGUGAAAUUCGUAGAUAUCGGGAGGAAUACCGGUGGCGAAGGCGACUUUCUGGCUAGAUACUGACGCUGAGGCGCGAAAGCGAGGGGAGCAAACAGGAUUAGAUACCCUAGUAGUCC
rnacentral:rRNA from 1 species